rnacentral:rRNA from 1 species
AGUGAACGCUGGCGGUAGGCCUAACACAUGCAAGUCGAACGGCAGCACAGUAAGAGCUUGCUCUUACGGGUGGCGAGUGGCGGACGGGUGAGGAAUACAUCGGAAUCUACUUUUUCGUGGGGGAUAACGUAGGGAAACUUACGCUAAUACCGCAUACGACCUACGUGUGAAAGCACGGGAUCUUCUGACCUUGCGCGAUUGAAUGAGCCGAUGUCGGAUUAGCUAGUUGGCGGGGUAAAGGCCCACCAAGGCGACGAUCCGUAGCUGGUCUGAGAGGAUGAUCAGCCACACUGGAACUGAGACACGGUCCAGACUCCUACGGGAGGCAGCAGUGGGGAAUAUUGGACAAUGGGCGAAAGCCUGAUCCAGCCAUACCGCGUGGGUGAAGAAGGACUUCGGGUUGUAAAGCCCUGUUGUUGGGAAAGAAAAGAAGCAGGUUAAUACCCCGCUGUUCUGACGGUACCCAAAGAAUAAGCACCGGCUAACUUCGUG